GGUACCCUAACCACGAUGAAGAGAACUGAUGUUCCCUUCUGAGCGCGAAGCGGGCAGUGAGUGAUGAUGCAUUUCAUCCGCUCCUUGCCAUUGAUGACCGUUCCAUGCUCUCUAGUGGAGCCUGGAGGUGGGUAUCAUGAUCAGAGUGG
rnacentral:snoRNA from 10 species